GAUGAAGAACGUAGCGAAAAGCGAUAAGUAGUGUGAAUUGCAGAAUUCAGUGAAUCAUCGAAUCUUUGAACGCACAUUGCGCCCCUUGGUAUUCCAUGGGGCAUGCCUGUUCGAGCGUCAUUUGUACCUUCAAGCUUUGCUUGGUGUUGGGUGUUUGUCUCGCCUUUGCGUGUAGACUCGCCUUAAAAUAAUUGGCAGCCGGCGUAUUGAUUUCGGAGCGCAGUACAUCUCGCGCUUUGCACUCAUAACGACAGCGUCCAAAAGUACAUUUUACACUCUUGACCUCGGAUCAGGUAGGGAUACCCGCUGAACUUAAGCAUAUCAAUAAGCGGAGGA
rnacentral:misc_RNA from 1 species